GCACUGCUGAGGAGUCCUGAAAUAGGACUAAAUGGUCGUCCAGUAC
rfam:Schistosoma haematobium scaffold9_38, whole genome shotgun sequence.